AGAGUUGAUCGAUGGCUCAGGACGAACGCUGGCGGCGUGCCUAACACAUGCAAGUCGAGCGGGGACAUUGCGACGGAGACGAAGUACUCGUACGGAGUCAAAGAUGUAAUGUUCUAGCGGCGGACGGGUGAGUAACGCGUGAGCAACCUGUCCCUUACAGGGGGAUAACACAGCGAAAGUUGUACUAAUACCGCAUGAGACCACAGUAUCACAUGGUGCAGGGGUCAAAGGAGCAAUCCGGUAAGGGGUGGGCUCGCGUCCGAUUAGAUAGUUGGUGAGGUAACGGCCCACCAAGUCGACGAUCGGUAGCCGACCUGAGAGGGUGAUCGGCCACAUUGGGACUGAGACACGGCCCAAACUCCUACGGGAGGCAGCAGUGGGGAAUAUUGGGCAAUAGGGGGGAAACCCUGACCCAGCAACGCCGCGUGAGGGAAGAAGGUUUUCGGAUCGUAAACCUCUGUCCCAGGUGAAGAGGAAGAGACGGUAGCCUGGGAGGAAGCCCCGGCUAACUACGUGCCAGCCGCCGC
rnacentral:rRNA from 1 species